rnacentral:rRNA from 1 species
CAGCCGCCACGGUAAUACGAAGGGUGCAAGCGUUAAUCGGAAUUACUGGGCGUAAAGCGUGCGUAGGCGGUUUGUUAAGACAGAUGUGAAAUCCCCGGGCUCAACCUGGGAACUGCAUUUGUGACUGGCAAGCUAGAGUGUGGCAGAGGGGGGUGGAAUUCCGCGUGUAGCAGUGAAAUGCGUAGAUAUGCGGAGGAACACCGAUGGCGAAGGCAGCCCCCUGGGCCAACACUGACGCUCAUGCACGAAAGCGUGGGGAGCAAACAGGAUUAGAUACCCGUGUAGUCCCUGUCUCUUAUAC